AGACUCCUACGGGAGGCAGCAGUAGGGAAUAUUGGACAAUGGGUGCGAGCCUGAUCCAGCCAUGCCGCGUGCAGGAAGACGGCCUUCUGGGUUGUAAACUGCUUUUGCCAGGGGAUAAAACGUUCCUGCGGGGAUAAUUGAAGGUACCUGGUGAAUAAGCCACGGCUAACUACGUGCCAGCAGCCGCGGUAAUACGUAGGUGGCAAGCGUUGUCCGGAUUUAUUGGGUUUAAAGGGUGCGUAGGUGUUCCAUAAGUCAGUGGCGAAAUACGGCAGCUUAACUGUCGAGGUGCCAUUGAUACUGCGGGACUUGAGUACAGACGAGGUAGGCGGAAUUGACGGUGUAGCGGUGAAAUGCUUAGAUAUCGUCAAGAACACCGAUAGCGAAGGCAGCUUACUAGACUGUAACUGACACUGAGGCACGAAAGUGUGGGAAUCAAACAGGAUUAGAUACCCUGGUAGUCCACACUGUAAACGAUGAUUACUCGAUGUUGGCGAUACACAGCCAGCGUCUUAGCGAAAGCGAUAAGUAAUCCACCUGGGGAGUACGCCCGCAACGGUGAAACUCAAAGGAAUUGACGG
rnacentral:rRNA from 1 species